rnacentral:piRNA from 1 species
UCCCUGAACUACAGAGGCUGUCCUUCUCUU